GCGGCGAUAGCUCAAUGGGUAAAGAAGAGAGGUGAGAAUAUGAUGAUUGUGAAUCAUCUGUGCGGGUUCGAUUCCCGCUUGUGGCA